rnacentral:miRNA from 1 species
CCCAGUUAAAUUUGAAUUUCAAACAGACAACAAAUAAUCUUUGUGUAAGUAUGUUCCAUGCAGUAUUUGGGAUAUACUUAUACUAAAAUAUCACUCAUUCUUUACCUGAAAUUUUAACAGAACUGGGUGCCCUGUA